rnacentral:rRNA from 1 species
UCGAGCGGUAACAGGCGUAGCAAUACGUGCUGACGAGCGGCGAACGGGUGAGUAACGCUUCGGAAUCUGCCCAAUGGUGGGGAAUAACCAGCCGAAAGGUUGGCUAAUACCGCAUGAGCCCUACGGGGGAAAGCGGGGGAUCGUAAGACCUCGCGCCGAUGGAUGAGCCGAAGCCGGAUUAGCUAGUUGGUAGGGUAACGGCCUACCAAGGCGACGAUCCGUAGCUGGUCUGAGAGGACGACCAGCCACACUGGGACUGAGACACGGCCCAGACUCCUACGGGAGGCAGCAGUGGGGAAUAUUGGACAAUGGGGGAAACCCUGAUCCAGCGACGCCGCGUGUGUGAAGAAGGCCUGCGGGUUGUAAAGCACUUUUAGUGGGGAUGAAAAGCUCAGAGAUAACACCUCUGGGUCUUGACCCAACCCACAGAAAAAGCACCGGCUAACUCUGUGCCAGCAGCCGCGGUAAUACAGAGGGUGCAAGCGUUAAUCGGAAUUACUGGGCGUAAAGCGUACGUAGACGGUUGGAUAAGUCGGAUGUGAAAGCCCCGGGCUCAACCUG